rnacentral:rRNA from 1 species
GACGAACGCUGGCGGCGUGCUUAACACAUGCAAGUCGAACGGAAAGGCCCUGCUUUUGUGGGGUGCUCGAGUGGCGAACGGGUGAGUAACCCGUGAGUAACCUGCCCUUGACUUUGGGAUAACUUCAGGAAACUGGGGCUAAUACCGGCUAGGAGCUCCUGCUGCAUGGUGGGGGUUGGAAAGUUUCGGCGGUUGGGGAUGGACUCGCGGCUUAUCAGCUUGUUGGUGGGGUAGUGGCUUACCAAGGCUUUGACGGGUAGCCGGCCUGAGAGGGUGACCGGCCACAUUGGGACUGAGAUACGGCCCAGACGCCUACGGGAGGCAGCAGUGGGGAAUAUUGCACAAUGGGCGGAAGCCUGAUGCAGCAACGCCGCGUGCGGGAUGACGGCCUUCGGGUUGUAAACCGCUUUCGCCUGUGACGAAGCGUGAGUGACGGUAAUGGGUAAAGAAGCACCGGCUAACUACGUG